UACGGAGGGUGCGAACGUUAAUCGGAAUCACUGGGCGUAAAGCGCGCGUAGGCGGUUUGUUAAGUGGGAUGUGAAAUCCCCGGGCUUAACCUGGGAAUUGCAUUUCAAACUGGCCGACUAGAGUACGGUAGAGGGAGGUAGAAUUUCCUGUGUAGCGGUGAAAUGCGUAGAUAUAGGAAGGAAUACCAGUGGCGAAGGCGGCCUCCUGGAUCGAUACUGACGCUGAGGCACGAAGGUCAGGGGAGCAAACGGG
rnacentral:rRNA from 1 species